ACGAACGCUGGCGGCGUGCUUAACACAUGCAAGUCGAACGGGGGUAGCAAUACCCUAGUGGCGGACGGGUGAGUAACGCGUAGGUAAUCUGCCCCUCGGUGGGGGAUACCCGGCCGAAAGGCCGGCUAAUACCGCAUACGCUGGUCCGGUGGGAUUCCGGAUCAGGAAAGGUUUACUGCCGAGGGAUGAGCCUGCGUCCGAUUAGCUAGUUGGUGGGGUAAUGGCCCACCAAGGCGACGAUCGGUAGCUGGUCUGAGAGGACGAUCAGCCACACUGGAACUGAGACACGGUCCAGACUCCUACGGGAGGCAGCAGUGGGGAAUUUUCCGCAAUGGGCGAAAGCCUGACGGAGCAACGCCGCGUGGGUGAUGAAGUCUUUCGGGAUGUAAAGCCCUUUCAGCUGGGAAGAAACAAAUGACGGUACCAGCAGAAGAAGCAUCGGCUAACUACGU
rnacentral:rRNA from 1 species